UCUCCGUUGGUGAACCAGCGGAGGGAUCAUUACCGAGUUUACUACUCCCAAACCCCUGUGAACUUAUACCUUUACUGUUGCUUCGGCGGGUUAACGCCCCGGAAGGCCCAAAAAGCCGCCGGAACCAGGCGCCCGCCGGGGGACCCAAACUCUUGUAUUUCUUACUUUGCAUGUCUGAGUGGAAUCAUAAACAAAUGAAUCAAAACUUUCAACAACGGAUCUCUUGGUUCUG
rnacentral:misc_RNA from 1 species